CUGGGACUGAAUGUACCUGUAGUCCCAUGGGCCUCCUGAGGAAAGGGAGCAAUGAGUAGGACUGAUGACAGAACUCAAGGGACAGAAUGCAGCUCACCUCUGCUGCAGGUACCCCAGGCACCAAGCUCUUAAAUACUCAAAGGUUCGUUAAAAAUGGUUAAUAUGAUGCUGGGCUUCAGCUUGAGCUAAGAACCCAAAAUCUAAAAUGAUAAAACGAGGACCCCAAGGGAUCGACAUCUAAAAGUGAAGACUUCCUGAGAAGAGACACCGAUUUGAAGCCACACAUAUAGGUUAAUUUACGAAAGAAGGAGAGGCAACUUUGAAUCGUGGAUCUGAUUAUACCCUCUCAAAAUAUAAAGCCUACCUAUCUAAAUG